AAUCCGGUUGAUCCUGCCGGACCUGACUGCUAUCGGAUUGAUACUAAGCCAUGCGAGUCAUUGUAGUAAUACAAGGCAGACGGCUCAGUAACGCGUAGUCAACCUACCCUAUGGACGGGGAUAACCUCGGGAAACUGAGAAUAAUACCCGAUAGAACAUUAUGCCUGGA
rnacentral:rRNA from 1 species